GGCAAUUGUCUCGAGGUUACCAUCUUAAUGUUGGAGAUGACUGAGUUCGAGUGUAAUGAUGUAGUUUCUGAAUUUUGUCUCCUGUUAGGUCUGGUACCUUGGUUUUGGGUUCUGCAGAUGAAUCAAUUCAGAGACUCGGAUAUUGAACUGUAAACCACAUAUAGACAUAAACACAUUGCAUCAUGUUUCAGCAAAAACAAGAACAUAUAAACAUAUAUAAGAAUUAGAAGCACCAACCUUGGUUAUUCAUGUUCAAAGCCAUCAAGCUGGAGCAGAGGAAGUCUUCUGUGUAAUUCUCCAGAUUGUCUUUUCACAGUGAGUAUGAAAAACUUACAGGCGUAGUAUGAGCUUACACAGGGACCCCUUUAUAUAUUGACAAGUUCAUUUAGAAUCUCAUCUCACAAGGCAACUCUAAUAAACCAAUCAAUUACCUUAUGUGAUAACUAUAACAUAUAUUCUAUGUUAUCUCAAACUCCUUGUAUUUAUCUAAUCAGAUUACUAAGAUAAAUAUCCAAGUUAAGUAUUAUCGAUUAACCUCAUUUACUUAUUUCACAAGAUGUUUAUAUAUGUUGGACUCUCAUGUGUUAAUCUUGAGUCCACAUUAGAUAUAACUCUAACAUCGGAGGCAGUGACCUUUUUAUUAGGUGUAUGCCUUUACUUUGGUUUUCGGCUUGUCUGAUUCAACCACUCAUGUACGGCUGAAACCUAAGCCUUUUCAAACCAUUCUGGUUAAUUGACCAGUUAUCAAAAACAAGAACUUUGGUGAAA
rnacentral:lncRNA from 1 species